GUGUUUGUAGUCCCUGGCUGCAAUGACCAACAAGUGAAAAUUUGUGUCAAAGUAAACUGUAACUUAAAGUGGUGUAGGAAUGAGUCCUAAAACCCGGAAAUGAGUUAGCACUUUAGAACCUCCGGUUCCCUCAUCUGGAUGACAGUAGGCUUUUUGAAUGGGUUUUUAGUUAGAUGCCUGAAAUAAGGUCUGUGGUUAACACAAGCGUAAGAGAUUUUAAGGUUUUAGGAUAUAAAAUAUCUC